AUUGAACGCUGGCGGCAUGCCUUACACAUGCAAGUCGAACGGCAGCACGGGAGCAAUCCUGGUGGCGAGUGGCGAACGGGUGAGUAAAAUAUCGGAACGUGCCCAGUAGUGGGGGAUAACUGCUCGAAAGAGCAGCUAAUACCGCAUACGACCUGAGGGUGAAAGGGGGGGAUCGCAAGACCUCUCGCUAUUGGAGCGGCCGAUAUCAGAUUAGCUAGUUGGUGGGGUAGAGGCCUACCAAGGCAACGAUCUGUAGUUGGUCUGAGAGGACGGCCAGCCAAACUGGGACUGAGACACGGCCCAGACUCCUACGGGAGGCAGCAGUGGGGAAUUUUGGACAAUGGGCGCAAGCCUGAUCCAGCAAUGCCGCGUGCAGGAAGAAGGCCUUCGGGUUGUAAACUGCUUUUGUCAGGGAAGAAAUCCUCUAGGUUAAUACCCUUGGGGGGAUGACGGUACCUGAAGAAUAAGCACCGGCUAACUACGUGCCAGCCGCCGCCGUAAUAC
rnacentral:rRNA from 1 species